ACCAAGUCUGGAGGAUGAAUUUGGUUCCUCGUUGUGUAUGGCUCGGACGCCAAAUCAAUAUUUGUCGGUAUCGUGAUCAAUGGCUUGUCAAUGCUAUUGUAUCAUGGAAACACCUCAUACAAUG
rfam:Helianthus annuus linkage group 16, whole genome shotgun sequence.